AAUGAACGCUGGCGGCAGGCCUGACACAUGCAAGUCGAACGGAUCCUUCGGGAUUAGUGGCGGACGGGUGAGUAACGCGUGGGAACAUACCCAAAGGUACGGAAUAGCCUCGGGAAACUGGGAGUAAUACCGUAUGUGCUCGAAAGAGGAAAGAUUUAUCGCCUUUGGAUUGGCCCGCGUUGGAUUAGGUAGUUGGUGGGGUAAUGGCCUACCAAGCCGACGAUCCAUAGCUGGUUUGAGAGGAUGAUCAGCCACACUGGGACUGAGACACGGCCCAGACUCCUACGGGAGGCAGCAGUGGGGAAUCUUAGACAAUGGGGGAAACCCUGAUCUAGCCAUGCCGCGUGAUCGAUGAAGGCCUUAGGGUUGUAAAGAUCUUUAAGGUGGGAAGAUAAUGACUGUACCACCAGAAGAAGCCCCGGCUAACUCCGUGCAGCCGCCGCGGUAA
rnacentral:rRNA from 1 species